GACGAACGCUGGCGGCGUGCUUAACACAUGCAAGUCGAACGGAAAGGCCCUGCUUUUGUGGGGUGCUCGAGUGGCGAACGGGUGAGUAACACGUGAGUAACCUGCCCUUUACUUUGGGAUAACUUCAGGAAACUGGGGCUAAUACCGGAUAGGAGCACCUGCUGCAUGGUGGGGGUUGGAAAGUUUCGGCGGUUGGGGAUGGACUCGCGGCUUAUCAGCUUGUUGGUGGGGUAGUGGCUUACCAAGGCUUUGACGGGUAGCCGGCCUGAGAGGGUGACCGGCCACAUUGGGACUGAGAUGCGGCCCAGACUCCUACGGGAGGCAGCAGUGGGGAAUAUUGCACAAUGGGCGGAAGCCUGAUGCAGCAACGCCGCGUGCGGGAUGACGGCCUUCGGGUUGUAAACCGCUUUCGCCUGUGACGAAGCGUGAGUGACGGUAAUGUGUAAAGAAGCACCGGCUAACUACGUG
rnacentral:rRNA from 1 species